AGAUUGAACGCUGGCGGCAGGCCUAACACAUGCAAGUCGAGCGGUAGAGAGGUGCUUGCAUCUCUUGAGAGCGGCGGACGGGUGAGUAAUGCCUAGGAAUCUGCCUAGUGGUGGGGGAUAACGUUCGGAAACGGACGCUAAUACCGCAUACGUCCUACGGGAGAAAGCGGGGGACCUUCGGGCCUCGCGCCAUUAGAUGAGCCUAGGUCGAUUAGCUAGUUGGUGAGGUAAUGGCUCACCAAGGCGACGAUCCGUAACUGGUCUGAGAGGAUGAUCAGUCACACUGGAACUGAGACACGGUCCAGACUCCUACGGAGGCAGCAGUGGGAAUAUUGGACAAUGGGCGAAAGCCUGAUCCAGCCAUGCCGCGUGUGUGAAGAAGGUCUUCGGAUUGUAAAGCACUUUAAGUUGGAGAAGGUUGUAACCUAAUACGUUGCAACUUUGACGUUACCGACUAGAAUAAGCACCGGCUAAACUUCGUGCCAG
rnacentral:rRNA from 1 species